rnacentral:lncRNA from 1 species
CUCGAUUGCUCCUCCUCUUGCUCUAACCUCUGCUCCUCACACACUUGCACAUCGCACCUCACCAAGAUACCAACACAAUAGUCCAUCGACCAUGACCACCAGGCCAUCUCUGACCUCUGCUCGACUGAUUUGAAAGUCGAAACUCUGUGAUUGCUGUGAGCUGUGGCUAUACUGUGGGUCUACUAUCUACAUCUUCAAUGUUGCU